GCGAGUUAGCAAUAAACUCCAAACCCCUGUGAACAUACCUAUUGUUGCCUCGGCAGGUCGUGCUGCGCGGGAGGACCGCUACCCGGCGGGGGACCUACCCUAUGGUAGUUACCCUGGAGCCGGGCAGCGCCUACCCUGCAGCACGCUACAUGGCCUGCCAGAGGACCCCUAAACUCUGUUUUACACUGUAUCUCUGAGUCUAUUAAACAAACAAGUUA
rnacentral:misc_RNA from 1 species